rnacentral:rRNA from 1 species
UACAGAGGGGCGAGCGUUGUUCGGAAUUACUGGGCGUAAAGGGCGCGUAGGCGGCCAACUAAGUCGGACGUGAAAUCCCCAGGCUCAACUUGGGAACUGCGUCCGAUACUGGAUGGCUAGAAUCCGGGAGAGGGAUGCGGAAUUCCAGGUGUAGCGGUGAAAUGACGUAGAUAUCUAUCGGAACGCCAAAGGUGGAAGACAGGCCGCUGGGCUUGAUACUGACGCUGGAGGAACGGAAAGCCGUGGGGAGCAAACGGG